rnacentral:rRNA from 1 species
CGCCCUGUUUUACAAAACAUGUCUUCUGAUGAUAUUCUGAAGUCUGACCUGCUCACUGAUUAAAUUUGAAGAGCCGCGGUAUUUUGACCGUGCAAAGGUAGCAUAAUCAUUAGUUUCUUAAUUAGGGGCUUGAAUGAAUGGUUUAACGAGAAAUUAACUGUCUCUUAAUAAAUUUUAGAAUUUAACUUUUAAGUUAAAAGGCUUAAAUAUUUCUUUAGGACGAGAAGACCCUAUAGAGCUUGACAUUUAAAAAUUUUAUAUUAUUUUAGUUUAUCUUUUUAUAUAGUUUUUUAAUGUUUGGUUGGGGUGACAUGAAGAAUAAUUAAACUCUUCAUUAUGAAAUCAUUUAUUUAUGUUUAUUUGAUCCAUAAUUUAUGAUCAAAAGAUUAAGUUACCUUAGGGAUAACAGCGUAAUCAUUUUUAAGAGUUCUUAUCGACAAAAUGGAUUGCGACCUCGAUGUUGGAUUAAGAUUAAUUUUAGGUGUAGUACUUAAUAAGUUAGUCUGUUCGACCUUAA